rnacentral:rRNA from 1 species
AUUGAACGCUGGCGGAAUGCUUUACACAUGCAAGUCGAACGGUAGAGGGGGCAACCCCUCGAGAGUGGCGAACGGGUGAGUAAUAUAUCGGAACGUGCCCAGUCGUGGGGGACAACGUAGCGAAAGUCACGCUAAUACCGCAUACGAUCUAAGGAGGAAAGCGGGGGAUCGCAAGACCUCGCGCGAUUUGAGCGGCUGAUAUCAGAUUAGGUAGUUGGUGGGUAACGGCUCACCAAGCCAACGAUCUGUAGCUGGUCUGAGAGGACGACCAGCCACAAUGGAACUGAGACACGGUCCAGACUCCUACGGGAGGCAGCAGUGGGGAAUUUUGGACAAUGGACGCAAGUCUGAUCCAGCCAUUCCGCGUGCAGGAUGAAGGCCCUCGGGUUGUAAACUGCUUUUGUACGGAACGAAAAGGUCUCUCUUAAUACGGGGGGCUCAUGACGGCACCGUAAGAAUAAGCACCGGCUAACUACGUGCCAGCCGCCGCCGUAA